GGGGUAAACUCCUCACACAGGAGGAAUGCAAGUCAAGAAAAUACUCAGAGAUUGAAAGCACAUUUCUCUUUGACUUUCAGUGGCAGAAUCAUCACUUAUGCCUGGAUGCAUCUGAAGAAGAUUUAUCUCUCGGAAGAUUGGUCAAUGACAACCACCAAAAUCCAAAUUGCGUUAUGAAAAAAAUCAUAGUUGACAACAAACCACAUUUGUGCCUUUUUUCUCUGAAGAAAAUAGAAAUAGGAGAUGAAAUUGAUUACAACUAUGGUGAUUCAAAAUGGCCUUGGCGCUGUAAGUUGAAAAAAACCCAAGCUCCAGCCGCAGCAGAAGAGAAUGAGACCAGCCCUGUUCCUCAGAUGCUUAAUGAUAGACCUAACCCAGAUCAGACCUGCACACAGGUAAAAGUACAUUCAAACACAUUCAUCUAUGCUGACAUGUAUGUGGUGGUGUUCUAUUACUAAAGUGGACCAAUGCUUAUGUGGCUUUAUAUUGGCUGUUAAAGGCCAGGUAAUGUCACACACACCGGCAUGUUUCCAGUCAUGUUCUUAUGGGGUCCUUCCA